rnacentral:rRNA from 1 species
UACGUAGGUGGCUAGCGUUGUCCGGAUUUACUGGGCGUAAAGAGCGCGCAGGCGGUCGUUCAAGUCGAGUGUGAAAGCCCCCGGCUCAACUGGGGAGGGUCACUCGAUACUGAUCGACUCGAAGGCAGAAGAGGGAAGCGGAAUUCCCGGUGUAGUGGUGAAAUGCGUAGAUAUCGGGAGGAACACCAGUGGCGAAGGCGGCUUUCUGGUCUGCUCUUGACGCUGAGGCGCGAAAGCUAGGGUAGCAAACGGG